CGUGUAGGCGGACUCGCAAGUCGGUUGUGAAAUCCCUGGGCUCAACCUAGGAACUGCAUCCGAAACUGCUUGUCUUGAGUAAUGGAGAGGGUGGCGGAAUUCCCGGUGUAGAGGUGAAAUUCGUAGAUAUCGGGAGGAACAUCAGUGGCGAAGGCGGCCACCUGGACAUUUACUGGCGCUGAGACGCGAAAGCGUGGGGAGCAAACA
rnacentral:rRNA from 1 species